UUCUUUCUCUUUUGUUUGUUUUCAGGCUCUCUCCCUCUUUCUUUACUUCAUUUCUUUUAAAUUACCAAAUAAAUACUCACAUAUUAACACCGACUCAUUGUGUGUGUGUGUGUGUGUGUGUGUGUCUCCUGGAAAACACUUAAGAGAAAAAUGUGAAAUUAUUUGCAAACACUUCCACAACCUUCCUUUGCGCUGGCCUUGUUCUACAGCACACUUACGCUGAUGACCUCAUCUCACCCUCUCCUUAAUCCUGUGCUGCUGGCAUCACUAUGAUGCCCGUUUCCAGAGAAGACAACUGAUGGUCACACAGCUGUGAAGUGCCCAGAUCUAAGCCGGGGCCCCUGCUGGCCCAGUUCGCACGCUCGUCUCCCAGCCCGGCUGCCUCUCACUGAAACAGGAAUAAAGGCUCCUGCAACUUCAGCACCGAGCAAAGAACGUUGGGGUCCCACUGGCUGUCAUUGGGCUAUGUGGCCAAGCCUACGGCAGAAGAAGUCAGGAAAGCGUUCAGCGGCUGUUCCCCAUCUCUCAUCCCUGCAGUGGGAGCAAAGCUCCUCCAGACAGUUCCUGUGACUCAGCCUCUCUCUCUGACCAAACUGUAGCCCGGUUCCUACAAGCCCUCUCCUCGACCAGCCCUAUGAGAAUCACCCCCUCAGCCCACGUGUCCGUGUCCUGCUCCACACGAAGAGACUUGCAGACACCAGCACCCUUUCUGCCGGCUGAAGGCUGUGUUCCUAGGAUGAAACUCUUUCCCCUUAAGUUCCUGCCCGAGAACGAUCAACUGUGCUGAAAGAAUUAACUAUUUAUUUCAGUCAAAACCUGGCCAUAGGAUCCUGACCUUCCUUUUCGUAGAGCUUUUAUGUAGAAAACUUACAAUUGUAAAUUAUUUCUCUGCACCUUUGAGAUAUAAAUCUUCUCCCAGCCUCCUGCCAGUUUUAUAACCCAUCAAUGUCUUUCUCGAGAACCUAAGAGGCAUCCUUUGAAAUGUCAUCAUCAAGGACGGGACCCCUGCCUCCCAGUCUCUGUGGAAGGGUAGGAGUUUAACUUCCACAAGUGCCAGGCACAAACAGAGGUGCCUAAUCACAUCCAACGUUCCUGUCCUUUUGUAGUUUCCUUUAGAACAGCCCAGCAUUUAAAAAGCCUCCUGCUUUCAUUUCAGAGGAGUUGGUCUCAGCUGACGUCUCUCUCCCCUAUUGCAGGAGUCUGAAUAAAAUCUGUCUCACCAUU